GAUGAACGCUAGCGGCAGGCCUAACACAUGCAAGUCGAGGGGCAGCACGGAUUGCUUGCAAUCUGGUGGCGACCGGCGCACGGGUGCGUAACGCGUAUACAACCUACCUUUUGGAGGGGAAUAGCCCAGAGAAAUUUGGAUUAAUACCCCAUAGUAUAUAGGAAUCUCCUGGUUUUUAUAUUAAACAUUUAUGGCCAUUAGAUGGGUAUGCGUCCUAUUAGCUAGUUGGUGUGGUAACGGCACACCAAGGCUACGAUAGGUAGGGGUCCUGAGAGGGAGAUCCCCACACUGGUACUGAGACACGGACCAGACUCCUACGGGAGGCAGCAGUGAGGAAUAUUGGACAAUGGGCGAGAGCCUGAUCCAGCCAUGCCGCGUGCAGGAAGACUGCCCUAUGGGUUGUAAACUGCUUUUACAGAGGAAGAACCACCCCCACGUGUGGGGGUUUGACGGUACUCUGCGAAUAAGGAUCGGCUAACUCCGUG
rnacentral:rRNA from 1 species